rnacentral:rRNA from 1 species
UGGAAGCGCAGCAAUGUGUGAAGCUAACCCGUACUAAUUGCCCGUGAGGCUUGAUCAUAUAACACCCAA